CAUCAAGGUGACACAGGCCUGUAAUCCCAACACCUGAGAGGUAGAGUCAGCAGGGUCAGAAGUUCAAGGCUAUCCUCAGCUACUUUGUGAAGUUCCAGGCUAGCCUGGGCUACAUGAGUGCCUAUCCAGAGAUGGAAUGAAAUACAGUAGAUUUUCAGUUGCAGUUGCUUCCGUAGCUCAUACCACAAGGAACAGAGCAGACUCAGGUUUUAAGCAGGACUCCAGUAAUGUCUCCAACCUCCUGAGCUGAUCAAGUAGCCAUCGGGUUACUUGAAGCCAGAAAGUUCAAACUAGCCAUAAUUGUCUGCCCCUACUCCUUGGGAAGGAAUGGUUCAGAUGGGGAAACUGAGGCAUGGAAGGGUGUGGGUUUGGGGGCAUCUACAGAGAUCUGAGCAGCAUAGCUCACACCUGUAGCUUGGGGCAGGGAGGGGUUAGCAGAGGAACAGAGAUGCCCAUUGCAGCAAGAGGGAAUGACAUUGGAUUUCAGUCACAUAACAAGCAAGACCCUAUAGCAAGAGGUUCUCAGCCUUCUAACACUGCAACCCUGUGAUACAGUGCCUCAUGUUGUAGUGACCCCUAACCAUAAAAUUAUCUCGUUGCUGCUUCAUAACUAUAAUUUUGCCAUUGACAUGGAUUGUAAUGUAAAUAUCCGAUAUCUGGUAUGCGACCCCUGUAAAGGGGGCAUUCAGCCUCCAGCCCCAGCCCUGGGAUUGCAACGGACAGGUUGGGAAACGCCGAGCUAGAGGAAGAAGUCACAAGGAGCCUCUUCUCCAUGCUCCUGGCUGGACAUCCACCCUGAGUCCAGUGCUCGCUCUCUUCCCCCUAGGAUGCCCCGCCCCAGGGGUGAAAGCAGGCCAGCUUCCUGGAGCGAGAUCUGGACCUCUUGGCUCCGCCCCGGGACCUUGGCGGCUGCCUGAGUCCCUGGCACUGGGCAGAGUCAACCCAUCUGGGGCUCAGCCAAGGCUUAAUCUUCCUUCUCUCUCCUCUGGCUGGGUCUGCACGCAGGAGCUGAGUCAGGGCAUUGCAACAUCUGGUUUGUUCUCUCUUAGUCCUGGGAGAGUGACACCCCACAUGCCCCUCCCCCAACCGCGUUGAUCAGGGCAGAGGGACAGGGUCAGAAUAUGGGAAGGUUGGCACCUGCCCCUUGGCGGGUGACUGGGUGUCUUGGAAGGUUGGGUAUAGGUCAGAAGGAUUCAGGAGUUGGCAGUCAGGCGAUGUGAUGAUUGUGCCGACCAGGUCCUCAUCUGUGAAUGAGACACUGUCAGAUUGGGUUGAGCCAGGCAUGCCCCGGACACCUGCUGUCUCAGCUUUUGAAGGCUGAGAGGCUCAUGAGUUUGAGGUCAGCUUUGGACACAGAGUAAGAGAAGCACAUCUGGCAAAAAGACAAAGCAAAACAAAACAAAAGAACCAGACCUGCUAGCUGCCUGCCUGGUAAAUGGCUUGCCCUCUCUGAGCAAGCUUCCUCACUUAUAAAGUGGGGCUAAAUGUACGCCUUAUCAGAUGGCUAUGAGGGUCAAGAUGGCUCAGCCCCUCUCAGGACAGUCCUGGCACAGUAUAAAUUCCAGUAAGAAGUGACAGGUUGUGCUGGAACACUCCCUUUAUCCCAGUGCUUAGAAGACAAGGUGUUGGGACUAAAGGUGUGCACCACCACCACCACCACCUGGCUAGUUACACAUAUUUAUUUUGUGUGUGUGUGUGUGUGUGUGUGUGUGUGUGUGUGUGUGUAUCCACAUGUCAGAGUACUCAUGUGGAAUCGAGAAGACGGCUUUUGGGAAUCAGUUCUUUCCAUGUCGGUCCUGGGGAUCGAACUCAGGUCUUGGGCUUUGAAGGCAACAGCUUUCCUUGCUGUGCCAGACCGCCGGGCCAAGCUCUGGUGCUGUACCUCAUCAGUCUUGUUUGCCUGGCUCCCCACAAGUACCAGACACCAGGAAAGCACAGCUGCCACGUGAUCUUUGGAAACAGGGCUCAGCCUUCCAGGCAUCCGAUCUAGCUGGCCUCAGUCCCCACCCCCAGUGAUCUCAUACUGUUAUGACGACAUUGAGAAUGACAUGUGACAUUUGGGAGACUCAGUGACUCUGCAGUUAAGCCUCUGGCAUUGCUGUGCCUGGCACAGUGGCGCCUCCGGAGAACAUCUCCAUCCUGCUGUGGGAGGAUCCAGGGCUCUGGGCAGUGUGGCCUCCGCAGCACCCUGCCUCGCCACUCCCUCCCAGUUUGUCUGGAAGGUGGGGUUGCUCCUUCUUCCUGGGUAGGGCAUGAUGAGAUUGGCUGUGGAAACCCCCUGGGAGUCUGGCACGCUCCACUUUCAGGGACAGUCAUUAGCCAGCUGGUGUCAUGGCACCUGUGGGUGACAGUGAACUUGCUGGACAACACGUUGUCAAGCUACUGACUUAUCUGCCAGUGUUCUCAGUGGGUGGAGUCAGCCUCGACUUUGAUCUUCAGUGUCUGCUGGGACUUCUGGUUGCUUCACAUCCUUGCUAGCUCUGGAUCCUUCAGAUCUCUUUCAGGAUAUCACUUUAAUGACUUGUCUACAGACUUUCCCAAUUCUCUGCUUCCCAUUUGGACUGCUGAGGCUGGAGAUCCUGUUGCCCUCUUCAAUACACACCCCUAAACUUUACCUGGCUCCUUUACAGACUGCAUGGCCAACAUGCAGGUUUCAGGUGUUCACUGACUCACGCACUCACUGACCCAUUUUUCAAGCAUCUGUUGAGCACCAGUUGUUUGCCUGGCACUGUCCUUGAAGGCAGAAGUCAGAGGACAACCUGUGGCAGUCAGCCCUCUCUUUCCGCCAUGUGGAUCCCAGCGAUGGAACUCCGGUCAUCAGGAUUGACAGCAAGCGCAUGUACCCACAAGCCAUCUUGCUGCCCAGUCACCCGCCCCAGCCCCGUUCUCAUAUUUACUUAUUUGCUUCAUUCCUCUGGAGUUCUGGGACAUAAAGGAGGGAUGAGCGUGAAGAGCAGGAGGCAUUUCCUCCUUGGGAAGAACUGCGAAGCCGGGCGCUCCUGGGAACACCUGUCCUGCCGGUAUUCAGGAGGCGCUUCCAAGUCAGCCCGGGCUGUAGCAAAACGCUGCCCCCAAAGCACAAAAUAAACUCACAGACAUUCAAA